ensembl:snRNA U6 U6 spliceosomal RNA
GUGCUCACUUCGGCAGCACAUAUGUUGGAACGAUACAGAGAAGAUUAGCGUGGCCCUGGGUGAGGAUGACACACAAAUUCAUGAAGUGAUCCAUAUUUUU